rnacentral:misc_RNA from 1 species
UACGGAGGGUGCGAGCGUUGUUCGGAAUUAUUGGGCGUAAAGCGGGUGCAGGCGGUGAGGUAUGUCUGAUGUGAAAGCCCGGGGCUCAACCCCGGAAGUGCAUUGGAAACUGCCUCACUUGAAUCCUGGAGAGGGUAGUGGAAUUCCUGGUGUAGAGGUGAAAUUCGUAGAUAUCAGGAGGAACACCGGUGGCGAAGGCGACUGCCUGGACAGUGAUUGACGCUGAGACCCGAAAGCGUGGGGAGCAAACAGG